GGGAGGAAUGCAGGAUCCUGGGCUGUGUCCCUCGGCGCCCUGGGAUCUGGGGCCUGCGCUGCUGGAAUCAUGCUCCCGGGGUGCGCAGCCCCUU
rnacentral:pre_miRNA from 1 species